GACGAACGCUGGCGGCGUGCCUAACACAUGCAAGUCGAACGGAAAGGCCCUGCUUUUGUGGGGUGCUCGAGUGGCGAACGGGUGAGUAACACGUGAGUAACCUGCCCUUGACUUUGGGAUAACUUCAGGAAACUGGGGCUAAUACCGGAUAGGAGCUCCUGCUGCAUGGUGGGGGUUGGAAAGUUUCGGCGGUUGGGGAUGGACUCGCGGCUUAUCAGCUUGUUGUUGGGGUAGUGGCUUACCAAGGCUUUGACGGGUAGCCGGCCUGAGAGGGUGACCGGCCACAUUGGGACUGAGAUACGGCCCAGACUCCUACGGGAGGCAGCAGUGGGGAAUAUUGCACAAUGGGCGGAAGCCUGAUGCAGCAACGCCGCGUGCGGGAUGACGGCCUUCGGGUUGUAAACCGCUUUCGCCUGUGACGAAGCGUGAGUGACGGUAAUGGGUAAAGAAGCACCGGCUAACUACGUG
rnacentral:rRNA from 1 species